CUUCUCUGUUUCCAUCUUCAUCAUGGAUGAUCACUGCUGUUAAAGGUGCAGAGAUGCAAGAGAAAGGGAUUGUGGGACAGAGGAAUACAAACCAUCUGCUGCCUCUGACAGGAAGACACAAAAUACCUAAUUCUGUUAAUUUAAAACCAGGAUCUCAGAGUGUCUGUGAUAAAACUUGUCACAGCAUUAUUAAGUCUCACCCACCACAACCAGCAAAGGAAUGGCAAUCAAUGACCCUUGCCAUAAGGGCUGAGGUGAAUCCUGUCAAACAUGCAUGCGUGGCAUACAAAUCCACAGA